ACAUAUGUAUUUGUACACCCACACGGUUAAAACCCAAAACACCACACGGUUAAAACCCCAAAACACCCCUCUCUCUCCCCACUUAACCAGUUUUCUCUCUCACUCUCUUUCAUGUUCUUCCCCAUUUUCAAAAAAGUAUAAUAUUGAUAUGAUACUAACGUUGGCUUAAUUUUUUUUUGGUUGCAGAAAAGCACACACCAUGGAUGUGGUUAGAAUUCCAUCAAAUAUUGGUUACUUCCGGGACCUCCUCCAAAAUCGUAUUUCUUCUACAUUGUUAGAGGAUCAUCGGACAUCUCUUCGAGAUACACCUUUCGAUGGGUAUUUGAAUGUUCCUAAUAUUCCAAUUCAACCUGUUCUAGUGGAUUGCUUGCUGGAAGUCUUUGAUGUUAAAAAAAAUAGCUUCAAAAUUGGAGGAAAAUGGACAUCUUUUAGUGUUCAAGAUGUUGCGAGAAUUACGGGUCUUCCGAUAGGAGGAUCUAUUGUAGAUACGAGGUUCCAUAGAAGCGAUCGCGAGACAAUCUACAAGCUCGUGCUAUCAUUUAGGUCGAAGGCAGAAAUUGUGGAGGAUAGGAAGUGUAGGACUAGGAGAGGAAAGAAGAAAAGUAACGAGGAAAAGAAGAAGAUUGUGUGUGUGCUAGAAGGGGUAGGAUGGGUGAACUUAUUGAGGAGAUGACUGAGCGUAGAGAUCCUCUUGUGCCACAGAUGCUCGUGGUUUUCAUCAUAGGCUUUAUAUUAUGUCCUCAAGCUAAUAUGAGUUGUCCUUUGUUUGCAUUUAGAUAUGCUGAGAAAUUGGACACUCUUCAUGAGUAUAAUUAGACAGAAGCAGUGUUUAAUGUGUUAAGGACUGAGAUGGUUAAUGCUAAAAAGACCAUUACCAAGAGGUCUGAGGGAAAUCGAUGUAGAGGUGGUUAUAUGGGGGGCUUUGCAUCGGUUUUGGUGAUAUGGUUUUAUGAGCUUGUGGGAAAGUUAAGCCUUCGCGUAGGAGCUGAAUCCCUACCACCCAUCCUAAGCUUCUAUAAGUGUCCAAAACCUUUACGGAGGAAUGCGUUGUAGAAUUUAGUUAGAGACCCGGAUAAUUUUAGCCAAUAUCAUAAGGGCUCGAGGUCUCUAAAAUUUCAAAAGAGGAUUGCUGAAGCUGCCAUUUUCACUAAAGAAACUGCUUCUUCAAAAUUCAAGGGAAAGGUAAUCACUGAAGCUGAUUUGGAUCGGCUUAUCCAUGAAAAAAAAGUUGAAUUAAACAUUCUCUUGAAGAUGAAGAGGGAAAUAUUCGGUGGAAGGCAAGAGGAUGUCGAUAGUGAUAGCGGAGAUGAGGAUGACGGGGAUGAUGAAGAUGAUAGUGAUGGCGGCGAUGAGGAUGGCAGGAAUGAGGAGGAUGAUAGAGAUGUAGGCGAAGGUGAAGGUGAAAGUGAUGAUGGAGUAGGAGAUGAGGGGGAUGGUGGUGAUGUGGAUGAGGAUGAUGGAGAUGUAGAUAGAAUGAAUGUAGAUAAAGAUGAUGGUGGAGAUGGUGCUAAUGACGAUGUAGACAUGGAUUCAAUUGAAGUGGAUGAUGACGCCUUUCUGCUUAGCCCGUGCGAUAUUACGGUGAUUGAAGGCAAGCGUAAAACCCCUUCCAUUAAAUGAACGGUUCUAUCGAGAUCUCGGCUCGCCGGACUAUCUACACGUUCUCCUUUUGUCCCGUUUUGUAAUCGAAAAGGUGUACCAAAAUAUCCGGGAAGGAUGGAAGUAAGAGAUGAUGAACGAGAACUACUUGAUAACUUUUGGAAGGACAAAAAGAUGACAAUGGAGAUGUUAGUGUGGUCAUCAAGUGAUGCUUUGGUAACUCGUAAGGAUGCAUUGGAAUUACUUAAAGGAGAAGCAACUAGUUGCGACGUUAUAGCCUCCUCUGUUGUGCUUCUAAAUAUGUUGAUGGAGAUGCGUCCAAAUUAUGCAAAGGACAUAUACAUCAUGGGUUACUAUAUGCAUCAACGAAAAUAAUCUGUCAAGUGUCGCACGCAUGUUUAAGCCAAUAACUAGUACACGUUUCCUCGCACUUGAUAAGAUUAUUUUCCCACUUCUAACUUCAUUUCAUUGGCAUAUGUUGGUGUUAUCUAUAAAAGAUAGAAGGUUUCAUCAUUACUCUUUUCUACGCGGAUAUAUGUCCGAUGCCAUUGAUUUUAGAGUGAAGCUUAUGACAUCCAUCCCCGAUGAGUGUAAUAUGGAUAUUAGCUCUUGUCAUGAGGUAGAAAGUGUUGAUGUACCUCAACAACGUGGUAGCCUAGAUUGCGGGGUGUUCUUGAUGUCAUAUAUGUUUAGCCUCGUAUCCGGUCAAGUGACAUCUA